CGAGCCUUUGUCGAUGAUUAUAACAACAAUUCAUUACUGAUUGGGAUUAUCGGUGAUUAUGAUGACCCAUACGGAGCUUUGCCGCGAUCGUUGGACAUAAUUUAUAAAUUAAUCCGAUGUGGCCAAGAAAAGGGAUAUAUCACUGAAAAUAUAACCAUUUAUGAACCAGUGGCUGAUUAUUGUCAAAAAGGACCAGGAAAAAGAUUUGGACCAGAGAUUUUGAGAAAUGGAUUGAAAAUAUUUUCUUCUAAUUCAAAUGACAAUAAUCUUGUUUGAUUGAAUAUAUUUGUUGAUUAUUAAACCACAAUUUAGACAAUUGUGGUUAAUUUACUACUCAUCAUGUCUUUUUACGAGGUUCACGGGAUCGUGUUGCGUUGACCAUUCGUUGACUUUUACUAGGUGAGUACAUUGCUUUCAGCUUCAGAAAAGUUUUCGCCAUCUCCACAAGUAUAACUUCAGGUCCAAUCAAAGGUUCCAACCUGAUGAAUAAAAAAUCCAGCAAAUCAUGGCCACUGGUCACUAGAAAUAAGGAUAAAAUUUACUCAUCAAGAUUGAUAAGCAUCACAGCAAGACCUAUUGGUCUUACAACAUGUUCGAGCUGCAUAAGGAAUAGAACCACAAAUAAGACUAAAGCAAAGAAACAUUGGAGUCGAUGAAUGGACUUGAAUCGAUGAAAACAACAAAAACAUUAAUAGAAACCCUCUGAAUAUCAUUGCAGGUUUACUAGUUAUCUAUGAGCAGCGUCUUAUUAACAAAAGAGACCAACAAUCUAACAUUAUCCAUCCCCAUUAACGCCACGAUAAAGCAGCCAUAGGAUCCCUCAUGUCCCUCCACUCUUCAAAGACUCGAUAACAACAACUUAUCGGUAAGACUCAAGAGUUAAUUUCAAAAGCACAGUGGAAGCUACAGAAAAAGUUGACGGAAAAGCACUUUAACCUUACCUUACAUGCUCAGAAUCAAUUUCUUUUAUUAGAGUAGAUAACAGUUCUCCCUGUAACAUGGCUCCUGGGUCUAUGUUGAAUGGUAUCACUAGUAACGUGUAAUACUUGUCUAGAUGGGGCAUUACCAAUUGAAUAGACGUGGUGCUUGGGUGAUGAUGUUCCUUCAGGAAAUAUGUCGGGGUCAUUUAGAUGUUCUUGUAAAUCCAAAUAAAGUACAUCAGUAGAUUGGUCUUGAGGUGGCUGUUUCACUAAUGAUGAUGUUGGCUGUUGGAUAUUGGAUUUUGAACUCAUAGUUAUGAAAAUAAUAACUAACCAAAUGAAAAGAGAGCAGACAAUGUCACAGUG